AUUGAACGCUGGCGGCAUGCUUUACACAUGCAAGUCGAACGGUAACAGGCCUUCGGGUGCUGACGAGUGGCGAACGGGUGAGUAAUGCAUCGGAACGUGCCCAGAGGUGGGGGAUAACGCAGCGAAAGCUGUGCUAAUACCGCAUGUGAUCUGAGGAUGAAAGCGGGGGACCAGGCAGCAAUGUUUGGCCUCGCGCCUUUGGAGCGGCCGAUGCCAGAUUAGGUAGUUGGUGGGGUAAAGGCCUACCAAGCCGACGAUCUGUAGCUGGUCUGAGAGGACGACCAGCCACACUGGGACUGAGACACGGCCCAGACUCCUACGGGAGGCAGCAGUGGGGAAUUUUGGACAAUGGGCGCAAGCCUGAUCCAGCAAUGCCGCGUGCGGGAAGAAGGCCUUCGGGUUGUAAACCGCUUUUGUACGGAACGAAAAGGCUCUGGCUAAUACCUGGGGCUGAUGACGGUACCGUAAGAAUAAGCACCGGCUAACUACGUG
rnacentral:rRNA from 1 species